GUUGAUUGGGAAACUCAUCAAUUAUAAGUGAAAUACCGAGACAAGCUUGGUCGGCUGAUGGCGGGCCCCAUCCCUUCGGGGAGGCUUUUAAGCCCAGGCGGAUUACAAAGGUCGGCGAGCUCUCAAAACCUGUCUAUCGGAGUUUCAUCGCAUCCUUUGGUGUGGCCAUU
rnacentral:sRNA from 1 species